GAUCACUCAGACAGCAGCACGGAAGGGAAGCUGGAGAAAGUGAAAGCAGAAGUGCACUGUGAAAAGGACUUGGGCCCCGGAAGCAGACAGAACUGGAGUCACAUCUUGUCUGUGCCACUUACUAGCUGUGUGAUCUUAGGGACAGCUAGACUAUAUUUCCCAGCCUUCCUUGCAGUUAUGUGAAACCAAGUGAAUGAGCUCUGGCCAAAGAAAUGAGAGCGAAAGUAAUGGAGACUACUUCCAAGCCUGGUCCAUAAAAACUCUAGUGUGGUCCUCUAGCCUCUCCUCUUUCCCCAUCCACUGGCUGGAUGGUGUGGACUUCAAGGACCUAGACGAGAGCAGAGUAACAAGAGAGAAGGGGCCUGAGUUCCUGAGUCACUAGAUGGAAAAGAAUUGCCUGACCAGCAACAUCAGCACAGAAUAUUGCUGCAUGAGUAGAAAAUAAACUUGUAGGCUGGGCGCGGUGGCCCACACCUGUAAUCCCAGCACUUUGGGAGGCUGAGGUGAGUGGAUCAU